rnacentral:other from 1 species
CAUUCCCUGCUGUGUGCGUGGAAGGCUGAUAGUUUGUUGAGCCAACACCCCAAACAAGGGAGUCAUCCCUCCGUGGAAGAAUGGAAAGGGAGAACAGCCCUUUCCGUCGGAAGCGGAUAUGACGCCCACCUGAGUUAGCUCAGGUUCAAUAGACUCAGCUCCACGGCAUGGCGGGGUUUUU